GACCUCUGUGGCCCUGGGAGGACCUGGGGACACCGGAGACUUGUGUUACUCAGAUCCUAGUCAAGACCUCUGUUGGCUGCCAGAGUUGGACAGAAAAGAACCGUUGAGGUCUGCAAAGAAGCAGGCAGAGCCCCAGGGAUCCAGGAGGGAGCCCCCUACCACACACACCCAAAGAGUUCUAGGAAAAGAUGAGGCAAGGAAUGGAGAUAGUGAGCAGAACAAAAGACGAAAUGCUUCAAGUCACAGCCCAAGUAUGUGAAGAAAUCUGCAGUCAUCGGCAUGAAUUACUUAGGCUUCUUCUCCUCUCUCCCGAAAGCUCAAGUCAUGGCUGCAGCCAGCCAGGAAUGGAACAAGAAUCCAUGAAGUGGGUUGCAGGCAUCAGGUUCCUUGUUUGGUCUAUGCUCACCUGGGUCCAGCCUGUUGGUGAGUGUGCACUUUCCCCAUCAGAUGCUGCUUCUCUUUGCUACAUCUUCACUGUUGGCAAGUCAGGGUCUGGACCAUGGUGGCACAAAGUCCAAGGCCAACUGAACGAAGAGACUUUUAUUAACUGUGACAGUAACAACAACUGCCAUGCCACUGGCCUUCUGGGGAAUAGACUGAUGGUCACAAAACUCUGGAAAACACAAGCUGAACCUCUGAAAGAUGGAAUUCACCUGUUGAAAGCAGAACUGAUUGACAUGACUAAUAAAACCAGAGGCACAGAGCCCCUCACUCUGCAGGCCAGGAUGUGUUGUUGUUAUGAAGAUGGACAUUUCGAUGGAUUCUGGAACAUUGGCCUCAAUGGACACAAAAUAUUGCACUUUGACUUAAGCACUGGAAAAUUGACUAAAGCUGAAGGCAGCAAGAAAAGAUUGACCAGCAGCGAUGUAACAGACUUCUUUUACAUGACUUCACAUGGGGACUGCAGGUCCUGGCUUAAGGAGUUCAAGUCACACUGGGAAGAAAAGCUGGAGCCUAUAGCCUCACCAAAUGGUAUGCCAGUUGUGAACCAGCUGCCUUUGUCCCUGGCCAUCAAGCCCAACAUCUCUGUCCUGCUCAUAUUCAUCACCUGCUCCCUCCUGCUGCUUAUGUGAGGAGAAUCCUUGACAGUGAAGGCUGAAGAUGCUCCAGAGAAGGCCGGGGGAGCUCAUCUGGUGCCACCCAUCUUCCUUUCCAUCAGCCUCAACCAGAUGAAUCUUGAUGCUGCCAACAUAGUAUUUCAUGUUCUUUCACUCUGUGCUAGUCGUUUGGGUGUCUUAGCACCUUGUGCUGUUUCCUUGGUUCUCCCUGGUGGGAUUUGCCCUGCAUGAAACUACUUUAAUUAGAGAUCCGGGAAAGAACAUGAUCAUGUACCCAUAGAGAACAGUAUAAACAGAUCUCCGUAGUAUGACUGUGAAGCUAUUGCUACUAUGCAUAUAAAUGAAAAUAAUCAAAUAUCUCAGGUAUCACUAAAGGAAACUUAUAACAACUAGUCAUAAAAAAUGGAGAUUGAGGGCCAGUUGUUUCACAGAAAUCAUUGGUAACUGUAACAGGGCCCCAGACCUCAGCACAGAUGACUCCAUGAUGGAAGCUCCAUUCAGGCUGUAAAACUCAGCACAUACACAGCACCUUCUUCCAAAACUAAAACAAAGACCUAAUCCAUCCAAGUGCAUGGUUAAGGCCAAGUCUCUGAAUGUGCUAACCUUGCUUUUUAGCUUCUGUUGUUCUGCUUCUGGCUAACUAUUCUUGUCAACUGAAAUUUGUUCAUCAACAACAUGAGUUUUGUACUUAAAUGCUCUGCCUGAGAAAGGCUUGGUGCUGCACUGGGAUCCCUAACAGCCAGUGCAGUUGCUGACCAGCUAAUAAAGAGUUUCUA
ensembl:lincRNA